UGCGCUUCCGAUCUGGCAUGUCAAGCAGGUACUGUGUGAAUAAUUAACCAGGAGAGCAUAUAUGUUGGAAAUUUUUAGGAGAGAGGCAAAAGAAUGUGGCACUUCUGCAGAUCAAGGAGAUGACAGGCAUGGGUGGUUUCUGGGAAAACAGAUG